UACAGAGGGGGCAAGCGUUAUUCGGAAUUAUUGGGCGUAAAGGGCGCGUAGGCGGCUUUGCAAGUGACGGGUGAAAUCCCUCGGCUUAACCGAGGAACUGCCUGUCAAACUGCAUGGCUUGAGACCGGGAGAGGUGAGUGGAAUUCCCAGUGUAGCGGUGAAAUGCGUAGAUAUUCGCAAGAACACCAGUGGCGAAGGCGGCUCACUGGCCCGGUACUGACGCUGAGGUGCGAAAGCGUGGGGAGCAAACAGG
rnacentral:rRNA from 1 species